rnacentral:tRNA from 1 species
AGGAUAGUGGUGUAACGGGAACACACUGGACCGUGACUCCGGAGUUAAGGGUUCAAAUCCCUUCUAUCCUC